GAUCAUGGCUCAGGAUGAACGCUAGCUACAGGCUUAACACAUGCAAGUCGAGGGGCGGCAUGAACUUAGCUUGCUAAGUUUGAUGGCGACCGGCGCACGGGUGAGUAACACGUAUCCAACCUGCCGAUGACUCGGGGAUAGCCUUUCGAAAGAAAGAUUAAUACCCGAUGGCAUAGUUCUUCCGCAUGGUGGAACUAUUAAAGAAUUUCGGUCAUCGAUGGGGAUGCGUUCCAUUAGG
rnacentral:rRNA from 1 species